rnacentral:rRNA from 1 species
UACGUAGGGUGCAAGCGUUGUCCGGAAUUAUUGGGCGUAAAGAGCUUGUAGGCGGUUUGUCGCGUCUGCUGUGAAAUUUCGGGGCUCAACCCCGAACUUGCAGUGGGUACGGGCAGACUAGAGUGUGGUAGGGGAGACUGGAAUUCCUGGUGUAGCGGUGAAAUGCGCAGAUAUCAGGAGGAACACCGAUGGCGAAGGCAGGUCUCUGGGCCAUAACUGACGCUGAGAAGCGAAAAGCGUGGGGGAGCGAACAGG